GACGAACGCUGGCGGCGUGCUUAACACAUGCAAGUCGAGCGGUAAGGCCCUUUCGGGGGUACACGAGCGGCGAACGGGUGAGUAACACGUGGGUGACCUCGCCCUCAGCGUCUGGGAGUAAAGCCUGGGAAACGUGGGUCUAAUACUGGAUAUGACUCCACGGUGCAUGUCGUGGGGUGGAAAGCCUUGUGCGGCUGAGGAUGGGCCCGCGGCCUAUCAGCUUGUU
rnacentral:rRNA from 1 species